rnacentral:rRNA from 1 species
UACGUAGGGACCAAGCGUUGUUCGGAUUUACUGGGCGUAAAGGGCGCGUAGGCGGCGCGGUAAGUCACUUGUGAAAUCUCUGAGCUUAACUCAGAACGGCCAAGUGAUACUGCAGUGCUAGAGUGUGGAAGGGGCAAUCGGAAUUCUUGGUGUAGCGGUGAAAUGCGUAGAUAUCAGGAGGAACACCGGUGGUGUAGACGGCUUUCUGGACCGUAACUGACGCUGAGACACGAAAGCGUGGGUAGCAAACAGG